AGGAUGAACGCUGGCGGUCUGCUUAACACAUGCAAGUCGAACGGAGUACCUCGGUACUUAGUGGCGGACGGGUGAGUAACGCGUGAGAAUCUGCCCUUAGGUCGGGGACAACCAUUGGAAACGAUGGCUAAUACCGGAUAAGCCGAGAGGUAAAAGAUUAAUUGCCUAGGGAAGAGCUCGCGUCUGAUUAGCUAGUUGGUGAGGUAAAGGCUCACCAAGGCAUCGAUCAGUAGCUGGUCUGAGAGGAUGAUCAGCCACACUGGGACUGAGACACGGCCCAGACUCCUACGGGAGGCAGCAGUGGGAAUUUUCCGCAAUGGGCGAAAGCCUGACGGAGCAAGCCGCGUGAGGGAGGAAGGCUCUUGGGUUGUAAACCUCUUUUCGUUGGGGAAGAACAAAUGACGGUACCCAAGGAAUCAGCAUCGGCUAACUCCGUGCCAGCAGCCGC
rnacentral:rRNA from 1 species